rnacentral:rRNA from 1 species
GAUUAGUGGCGACGGGUGAGUAACACGUGGGCAAUCUGCCCUUCACUCUGGGACAAGCCCUGGAAACGGGGUCUAAUACCGGAUAACACUCCUCCUCUCCUGAGGAGGAGUUAAAAGCUCCGGCGGUGAAGGAUGAGCCCGCGGCCUAUCAGCUAGUUGGUGAGGUAAUGGCUCACCAAGGCGACGACGGGUAGCCGGCCUGAGAGGGCGACCGGCCACACUGGGACUGAGACACGGCCCAGACUCCUACGGGAGGCAGCAGUGGGGAAUAUUGCACAAUGGGCGAAAGCCUGAUGCAGCGACGCCGCGUGAGGGAUGACGGCCUUCGGGUUGUAAACCUCUUUCAGCAGGGAAGAAGCGAAAGUGACGGUACCUGCAGAAGAAGCGCCGGCUAACUACGUGCCAGCAGCCGCGGUAAUACGUAGGGCGCAAGCGUUGUCCGGAAUUAUUGGGCGUAAAGAGCUCGUAGGCGGCUUGUCACGUCGGGUGUGAAAGCCCGGGGCUUAACCCCGGGUCUGCAUUCGAUACGGGCUAGCUAGAGUGUGGUAGGGGAGAUCGGAAUUCCUGGUGUAGCGGUGAAAUGCGCAGAUAUCAGGAGGAACACCGGUGGCGAAGGCGGAUCUCUGGGCCAUUACUGACGCUGAGGAGCGAAAGCGUGGGGAGCGAACAGGAUUAGAUACCCUGGUAGUCCACGCCGUAAACGGUGGGAACUAGGUGUUGGCGACAUUCCACGUCGUCGGUGCCGCAGCUAACGCAUUAAGUUCCCCGCCUGGGGAGUACGGCCGCAAGGCUAAAACUCAAAGGAAUUGACGGG